UAGGGUUAGGGCUUUCUUCCAGUGGUGGUCCAUCACCGGAAUCAAAUCCAGCGGCGAUGAUUUGAUCUUCGAGGUCGGUAUGGUCUCCGCUAAGUACCCCUCCAACAACUUCGGCGAGAGUCCCGACUGCGAGGGCAAGCGUGCUUCUUCUUGACCUCUCCACAUGUUUUUCAGGUGUUGAUGAUAUACCUCCGCCAAGGCAAUAGCUUGGUAGGACUUGGAGCAAGGGCUUCGUUUUGUUUGAUUGUUGUAUAUGUUUUGUACAGGCCAAGGGCCUUUAGCUGUAUUGGAUAUAAAUCUACUUUUUUUGUAACCAAUAAUCAUCUUGAAAAGUUAUAAACCUUUAGGGUAUUUAUUAUUUGCUUGAUGUUCAUUUUAUUAUGUAACAUAUGCUAUAGAUUCAGGGAUAGGCUUGUGAAUGCAUAUCUGCAUAUGUUACUCUUUUGUAAACUUACUUGGAAAGUGAUGAAAGAUAAGUACUUUAUCAUUGUUGUUA